GAGAGAGAGAGAGAGGGAGAGAGAGAGAGAGAGAGAGAGAGAGGGAUUACUAUUUAGUCAUAAAACAGGUCAUUAAGGAGCAGGUAGGGGUUAGACAGUACAGAGACAGGUCGUUAAGGAGCAGGUAGGGGUUAGACAGUACAGAGACAGGUCGUUAAGGAGCAGGUAGGGGUUAGACAGUACAGAGACAGGUCAUUAAGGAGCAGGUAGGGGUUAGACAGUACAGAGACAGGUCAUUAAGGAGCAGGUAGGGGUUAGACAGUACAGAGACAGGUCAUUAAGGAGCAGGUAGGGGUUAGACAGUACAGAGACAGGUCAUUAAGGAGCAGGUAGGGGUUAGACAGUACAGAGACACGUCAUUAAGGAGCAGGUAGGGGUUAGACAGUACAGAGACAGGUCAUUAAGGAGCAGGUAGGGGUUAGCCAGUACAGAGACAGGUCAUUAAGGAGCAGGUAGGGGUUAGACAGUACAGAGACAGGUCAUUAAGGAGCAGGUAGGGGUUAGACAGUACAGAGACAGGUCAUUAAGGAGCAUGUAGGGGUUAGACAGUACAGAGACAGGUCAUUAAGGAGCAGGUAGGGGUUAGACAGUACAGAGACAGGUCAUAAAGGAGCAGGUAGGGGUUAGACAGUACAGAGACAGGUCAUUAAGGAGCAGGUCGGGGUUAGACUCUAGAGACAGGUCAUUAAGGAGCAGGUAGGGGUUAGACUGUAGAGACAGGUCAUUAAGGAGCAGGUAGGGGUUAGACAGUACCUCCAUGUCGGGUUUGUAGCGGUCCUCCAAGAUGCCCAGAGCCGCCAUUGAACCGGAACCUGAGGAGAAUCCGCAGGUUCAACCCCUGAACUGGAGGUCCUGUAAAGUAGUCCUGUAAAGUAGUCCUGACUAAAGUGGUCCUGACAAAAGUGGUCCUGACUAAAGUAGUCCUGUAAAGUAGUCCUGUAAAGUAGUCCUGUAAAGUAGUCCUGACUAAAGUAGUCCUGUAAAGUAUAGUCCUGUAUAGUAGUCCUGUAAAGUAGCCCUGACUCCUGACUAAAGUCCUGGGUAGUCUUAAUGAGGUGCUCCUAACCAAUCAGAGCCCAUCUAAAGAGCGGGUCCUGAAGCCAUCAGAAUGAAUCGAUGAUCACAACAACAUCCACAUCAACAACAAGCAAACCAGCGCUCUUAAUGUGAAGGCCCCUGACCCAUGGAGACGAAGGGCAGCUUGUUCACACUGCCGUACGGCCCCACCGUGUACAGGUGGGCCCCCGAGUAGUCCACGCCCCCCAGGAUCAGAUGGGCCCCGAUCUGACCGCCGUACCUGGAGACACACAACGCAGCACACACACAAUGAUACACACGCCGAUACACACACUGACACACACAAUGAUACACACAGUGAUACACACAAUGUAACACACACUGAUACACACACUGAUACACACAAUGUUACACACAAUGUUACACACAAUGUAACACACACUGAUACACACACUGAUACACACACUGAUACACACACUGAGACACAGCGUCUAACACACACCUGUACAGCGUGUCUAACACCCACCUGUACAGCGUGUCUAAAACCCACCUGUACAGCGUGUCUAACACACACCUGUACAGCGUGUCUAACACACACACCUGUACAGCCCGUCUAACACACACACCUGUAGAGGUUUAGAGUUUAUUUGCCUAGCACAAAUGACAACGUCCGUUCAAGGCGGGGGCGUAGGCUUGUACAGAGUUCGUACAAGAGGCUUGUACAAGAGAAAUUCUUGAAGAGGAGUUUCAGGUAGCCGGUAGAUGAUUCCUCAGUUGCUUUUCGGAUGCAGUGUAGGAUGGAAUAGGUCUUAGCUAUGGGCUUAAUUCACUCCAGAGCUCGGGCCUCUGGGGGACACAUCAAACCGGUGCCUAGAAGCCCUCGUGCCUGGUAGGAGUAGGCGGUUGUUUCUGUUUCUGUCCGAUGUGGAAAUAAAUAUGUUCUGGAGAGUGACUGGAAGAUCUAGUUUUCUAUAUAUGAACUUAUUGGCGAGUCAACGUGUUUGAUAUGCGUUCACUUUAUCAAUAGGUAUCAAAUGAUAUUGUUCAAAAAGGGGUGCAGAUCGGGUCUAUCUACUUGAGUGAGAUAUCAACCUAAGAAAUGUCUUCUGUGUGAUUUGUAUUUUUCUGAGACAGGUAGGAUGAGUCACUGCCCGGACUAUAUUACGGUAAGGUCAGAUGAGCUGAGGCGUGAAUUCAGUGACAAACCUUCCUCGAUAUGCCCAGCGACUCAGCGACUCAGCAGAUCUUCUGGAGGCCAGGUCGAUAUGGUCAGACCAUUUCAGACCACUGUCCACGAUGACCCCCAGGAGUUUGCUUUGUUGAACGAGUUCAAUUUGUCUUU